AUAGCCUUUAGCCCAACAAGUAUUAAAGGUCCCGCCUGCCCAGUGAUCAUUUCAACGGCCGCGGUAUUCUAACCGUGCAAAGGUAGCGUAAUCACUUGUCUUCUAAAUAAAGACCUGUAUGAAUGGCUAAAUGAGGACAAACCUGUCUCUUACAACCAAUCAGUGAAACUGAUCUUUCAGUACAAAAGCUGAAAUAUACCCAUAAGACGAGAAGACCCUGUGGAGCUUUUAAACCAACCGCCAAAACGCAACCUAACUGCACCUGGCGCCGUGUUUUAAGUUGGGGCGACUUCGGAGUAAAACAAAACCUCCGAGCACAGGGCCAUAAACCCUCACCAAGGCCUACAAGCCAAAGUUAACACACCCGAUCCAGUAAUACUGAUCAACGAACCAAGUUACCCCAGGGAUAACAGCGCUAUCUUCUUCAAGAGUCCAUAUCGACAAGAAGGUUUACGACCUCGAUGUUGGAUCAGGACACCCAAAUGGUGCAGCCGCUAUUAAUGGUUCGUUUGUUCAACGAUUAACAGU
rnacentral:rRNA from 1 species